rnacentral:rRNA from 1 species
CAUGCAGUCGACGGUGAACACGGAGCUUGCUCUGUGGGAUCAGUGGCGAACGGGUGAGUAACACGUGAGCAACCUGCCCCUGACUCUGGGAUAAGCGCUGGAAACGGCGUCUAAUACUGGAUACGAGUAGCGACCGCAUGGUCAGUUACUGGAAAGAUUUUUUGGUUGGGGAUGGGCUCGCGGCCUAUCAGCUUGUUGGUGAGGUAAUGGCUCACCAAGGCGUCGACGGGUAGCCGGCCUGAGAGGGUGACCGGCCACACUGGGACUGAGACACGGCCCAGACUCCUACGGGAGGCAGCAGUGGGGAAUAUUGCACAAUGGGCGAAAGCCUGAUGCAGCAACGCCGCGUGAGGGAUGACGGCCUUCGGGUUGUAAACCUCUUUUAGCAGGGAAGAAGCGAAAGUGACGGUACCUGCAGAAAAAGCGCCGGCUAACUACGUGCCAGCAGCCGCGGUAAUACGUAGGGCGCAAGCGUUAUCCGGAAUUAUUGGGCGUAAAGAGCUCGUAGGCGGUUUGUCGCGUCUGCUGUGAAAUCCGGAGGCUCAACCUCCGGCCUGCAGUGGGUACGGGCAGACUAGAGUGCGGUAGGGGAGAUUGGAAUUCCUGGUGUAGCGGUGGAAUGCGCAGAUAUCAGGAGGAACACCGAUGGCGAAGGCAGAUCUCUGGGCCGUAACUGACGCUGAGGAGCGAAAGGGUGGGGAGCAAACAGGCUUAGAUACCCUGGUAGUCCACCCCGUAAACGUUGGGAACUAGUUGUGGGGUCCAUUCCACGGAUUCCGUGACGCAGCUAACGCAUUAAGUUCCCCGCCUGGGGAGUACGGCCGCAAGGCUAAAACUCAAAGGAAUUGACGGGGACCCGCACAAGCGGCGGAGCAUGCGGAUUAAUUCGAUGCAACGCGAAGAAMCUUACCMAGGCUUGACAUAUACGAGAACSGGGCCAAAWUGGUCAACUCUUUGRACCCUCGUAAAC